rnacentral:rRNA from 1 species
UACGUAGGGUGCAAGCGUUAAUCGGAAUUAUUGGGCGUAAAGGGUGCGUAGGCGGUUUGGUAAGUCUUAUGUGAAAUCUAUGGGCUCAACUCAUAGACUGCAUGAGAAACUGCCGGGCUUGAGUAUGGGAGAGGUGAGUGGAAUUCCUGGUGUAGCGGUGAAAUGCGUAGAUAUCAUGAGGAAUACCAGAGGCGAAGGCGGCUACCUGGACAAUUGCUGACGCUCAGGCACGAAAGCGUGGGGAGCAAAAGGG